GUCUGCGGCAGGGUACGUGUGUGUGAGAGUGUCUGCGGCAGGGUACGUGUGUGUGAGAGUGUCUGUGGCAGGAUACGUGUGUGUGAGAGUGUCUGUGACAGGGUACGUGUGUGUGAGUGUCUGUGGCAGGAUACGUGUGUGUGAGAGUGUCUGUGGCUGGGUACGUGUGUGUGAGAGUGUCUGUGGCAGGGUACGCGUGUGUGUGAGUGUCUGUGGCAGGAUACGCGUGUGUGAGAGUGUCUGUGGCAUGAUACGUGUAUGUGAGAGUGUCUGUGGCUGGGUACGUGUGUGUGAGAGUGUCUGUGGCAUGAUACGUGUGUGUGAGAGUGUCUGUGGCAGGGUACGUGUGUGUGAGAGUGUCUGUGGCAGGGUACGUGUGUGUGAGAGUGUCUGUGGCUGGGUACGUGUGUUUGAGAGUGUCUGUGGCAGGGUACGUGUGUAUGAGAGUGUCUGUGGCAGGGUACGUGUGUAUGAGAGUGUCUGUGGCAGGGUACGUGUGUAUGAGAGUGUCUGUGGCAGGGUACGUGUGUAUGAGAGUGUCUGUGGCAGGGUACGUGUGUUUGAGAGUGUCUGUGGCAGGGUACGUGUGUAUGAGAGUGUCUGUGGCAGGGUACGUGUGUAUGAGAGUGUCUGUGGCAGGGUACGUGUGUAUGAGAGUGUCUGUGGCAGGGUACGUGUGUUUGAGAGUGUCUGUGGCAGGGUACGUGUGUGUGAGAGUGUCUGCGGCAGGGUACGUGUGUGUGAGAGUGUCUGCGGCAGGGUACGCGUGUGUGAGAGUGUCUGC